GUGAGAGGCUGGGCAAAAGGAGGCGGGAGAGGAACGCGCGCCCCAAGAGCGAAAGCAAACAGCUGUGGAGGCGCUGCCCGCGGUUCGAGCUUCCCAACAGGUUAGCUAUACUGGGAUCCACCCGGCAUUUCGCAGGAGGGGGGGGAGACAGCGAGAGGGGGAGAGCGCCUCACAAGAGGACAGAGGGAGGGAGGGCAAGAG
rnacentral:lncRNA from 1 species